UACGUAGGGUGCGAGCGUUAAUCGGAAUUACUGGGCGUAAAGCGUGCGCAGGCGGUGAGCUGUGUCCGAUGUGAAAGCCCCGGGCUCAACCUGGGAAUUGCAUUUGUGACUGCACGGCUAGAGUGUGUCAGAGGGGGGUAGAAUUCCACGUGUAGCAGUGAAAUGCGUAGAGAUGUGGAGGAAUACCGAUGGCGAAGGCAGCCCCCUGGGAUAACACUGACGCUCAUGCACGAAAGCGUGGGGAGCAAACAGG
rnacentral:rRNA from 1 species